rnacentral:rRNA from 1 species
AGAGUUUGAUCCUGGCUCAGGAUGAACGCUGGCGGCGUGCCUAAUACAUGCAAGUCGAGCGAACUGAUUAGAAGCUUGCUUCUAUGACGUUAGCGGCGGACGGGUGAGUAACACGUGGGCAACCUGCCUGUAAGACUGGGAUAACUUCGGGAAACCGAAGCUAAUACCGGAUAGGAUCUUCUCCUUCAUGGGAGAUGAUUGAAAGAUGGUUUCGGCUAUCACUUACAGAUGGGCCCGCGGUGCAUUAGCUAGUUGGUGAGGUAACGGCUCACCAAGGCAACGAUGCAUAGCCGACCUGAGAGGGUGAUCGGCCACACUGGGACUGAGACACGGCCCAGACUCCUACGGGAGGCAGCAGUAGGGAAUCUUCCGCAAUGGUCGAAAGUCUGACGGAGCAACGCCGCGUGAGUGAUGAAGGCUUUCGGGUCGUAAAACUCUGUUGUUAGGGAAGAACAAGUACGAGAGUAACUGCUCGUACCUUGACGGUACCUAACCAGAAAGCCACGGCUAACUACGUGCCAGCAGUCGCGGUAAUACGUAGGUGGCAAGCGUUAUCCGGAAUUAUUGGGCGUAAAGCGCGCGCAGGCGGUUUCUUAAGUCUGAUGUGAAAGCCCACGGCUCAACCCGUGGGAGGGUCAUUGGGAAACUGGG